rnacentral:rRNA from 1 species
UGCAGUCGAACGAUGAAGGAGGAGCUUGCUCCUCCGGAUUAGUGGCGAACGGGUGAGUAAUACGUGAGCAAUGUGCCCUUGACUCUGGGAUAAGCGCUGGAAACGGCGUCUAAUACCGGAUACGACGACCGGAGGCAUCUCCUGGUCGUGGAAAGAACUUCGGUCAAGGAUCAGCUCACGGCCUAUCAGCUUGUUGGUGAGGUAAUGGCUCACCAAGGCGACGACGGGUAGCCGGCCUGAGAGGGUGACCGGCCACACUGGGACUGAGACACGGCCCAGACUCCUACGGGAGGCAGCAGUGGGGAAUAUUGCACAAUGGGCGCAAGCCUGAUGCAGCAACGCCGCGUGAGGGACGAAGGCCUUCGGGUUGUAAACCUCUUUUAGCAGGGAAGAAGCGAAAGUGACGGUACCUGCAGAAAAAGCACCGGCUAACUACGUGCCAGCAGCCGCGGUAAUACGUAGGGUGCAAGCGUUGUCCGGAAUUAUUGGGCGUAAAGAGCUCGUAGGCGGUUUGUCACGUCUGCUGUGAAAACCCGAGGCUCAACCUCGGGCUUGCAGUGGGUACGGGCAGACUAGAGUGCGGUAGGGGAGAUUGGAAUUCCUGGUGUAGCGGUGGAAUGCGCAGAUAUCAGGAGGAACACCGAUGGCGAAGGCAGAUCUCUGGGCCGUAACUGACGCUGAGGAGCGAAAGCAUGGGGAGCAAACAGGCUUAGAUACCCUGGUAGUCCAUGCCGUAAACGUUGGGAACUAGAUGUGGGGACCAUUCCACGGUCUCCGUGUC